rnacentral:rRNA from 1 species
UACGUAGGGGGCAAGCGUUGUCCGGAUUUACUGGGCGUAAAGAGCGCGCAGGCGGUCGUACAAGUCGGGGGUGAAAGCCUGUGGCUCAACCACAGAAUUGCCUUCGAUACUGUAGAGCUUGAGACCGGAAGAGGUAAGUGGAACUGCGAGUGUAGAGGUGAAAUUCGUAGAUAUUCGCAAGAACACCAGUGGCGAAGGCGGCUUACUGGUCCGGUUCUGACGCUGAGGCGCGAAAGCGUGGGGAGCAAACAGG